GCCAUCAUAGCACAGUGGUUUGAGCGUUGGACUACAACUCUGGAGACCAGGGUUCAAUUCCCAGCUUGGAUA